rnacentral:rRNA from 1 species
AUUGAACGCUGGCGGCAUGCCUUACACAUGCAAGUCGAACGGCAGCACGGGGCAACCCUGGUGGCGAGUGGCGAACGGGUGAGUAAUGCAUCGGAACGUGUCCUCUUGUGGGGGAUAACCAGUCGAAAGAUUGGCUAAUACCGCAUGAGAUCGCAAGAUGAAAGCGGGGGACCGCAAGCCCUCGCGCGAGAGGAGCGGCCGAUGCCGGAUUAGCUAGUUGGUGGGGUAAAAGCCUACCCAGGCGACAAUCCGUAGCUGGUCUGAGAGGACGACCAGCCACACUGGGACUGAGACACGGCCCAGACUCCUACGGGAGGCAGCAGUGGGGAAUUUUGGACAAUGGGCGCAAGCCUGAUCCAGCCAUGCCGCGUGUGUGAAGAAGGCCUUCGGGUUGUAAAGCACUUUCGGACGGAACGAAAUCGCGCGGGCGAACAUCCCGCGUGGAUGACGGUACCGUAAGAAGAAGCACCGGCUAACUACGUGCCAGCCGCCGCAGUAA